AGCCUCCUCAUCAUUUCCCCAUUUUUCUUAACAUUUCGACAACAGUGUCCCCCAAGGGCACGCCCGGUUAACGUUGCUCAGCAGUGUAGAGGAGCUCCAUAUGGCCAAGAUUAAGGUUCGAGCACCAGCUUCGCCACGUGCCGGCCAUCUCCACGGGUCCCCAAGGACGCAAUCAGCCACUCUCUCAAUCGAGAACCGCAAAUCUCAGAGUUCUAGACAGACAAAUUGUGAUUAUUCUUAAAUUAUUCAAAUCUACGUACAACGAACCACCGACCGAAAGAAAGAAAGAACGAAAGAAAGAGCAGCGCCAUGUUAGCUCCAAACUUUCCACUCCGAACAGUCUUUCAGAAAAUACUUCUCUUUGCCGCAAUCAUGUAAGCAGAUCAGAGUGCUGCUGGGAAACGCAUCACAGGCUCCAGGUUGUGCAAAUAAGGCUGCAGAUCCAGGGGUUCAUGGACAGAGGGAAUUGUGGUAAACUGAGAUGCUGGUGCUGUUGUUCUUCCACUGCACACGGUCACUCAGGUUUGUGGAUGGUGGAGUGGGUGGAUACCAGUGUUUCAGGGAGCCUCCAUGUCUAUGUUACCUUCUGGCUCUCUCCCUUUAGUUAGGCUGUUUUAUUCAGAUCUGCCAUUAGAUAAUAAUCACACUCUGAUAAUAUUUUAUAUUCUCUGUUUUACAUAAAUCCAGUCAAAACUAAUUCCAUCUCUCUGCCUUCCUCCGAGUUACUGACUGCCCACCUGUCUGACCCACCUGUCUGACCCGAUCUGGCCCGAGGGAUGUUGGACCCUCAGGCUCUCAUGUCUGCUGUGUAGCCAGACUGAUGGAAGUUUCUGAAGUCAGCUCUUCUCCACCACCACCACAGAUCAGCUGCUCAUCAUCCAUCUCACUCUCCACUACAGACAUCCAAGCCAUUAGUGGCGCUAUUAUACUCCUGAAUAUAUAAAACCUGUAUAGCUGUAUAAAGACAUUUUUUAAUUUUAAUUUAAAAGCCGUUUGACCAGUGGUAGGAUGGUCCCCCCUUAAAUGUGAGUCUUGGUCCUCCCAAGGUUUCUUCCUCCUCCUGCAGCUCUGAGGGAGUUUUUCCUUGCCUCCGCGCUCACUGGGGGUUCUGUAUUAUGUAUAUUCUAUGUUUAAUCUUUUGCCUGAUUCUUUUUCCUGUGAUCAUGUUUCUGUAAAGCUGCUUUGUGACAACACCAGUUGUAAAAAACG
rnacentral:lncRNA from 1 species